AACGAACGCUGGCGGCAUGCCUAACACAUGCAAGUCGAACGAGGCCUUCGGGUCUAGUGGCGCACGGGUGCGUAACGCGUGGGAACCUGCCCUUAGGUUCGGAAUAACUCCCCGAAAGGGGUGCUAAUACCGGAUAAUGUCUUCGGACCAAAGAUUUAUCGCCUUUGGAUGGGCCCGCGUUGGAUUAGCUAGUUGGUAGGGUAAAAGCCUACCAAGGCGACGAUCCAUAGCUGGUCUGAGAGGAUGAUCAGCCACACUGGGACUGAGACGCGGCCCAGACUCCUACGGGAGGCAGCAGUGGGGAAUAUUGGACAAUGGGGUAAAGCCUGAUCCAGCAAGGCCGCGUGAGUGAUGAAGGCCGUAGGGUUGUAAAGCUCUUUUACCCGGGAUGAUAAUGACAGUACCGGGAGAAUAAGCUCCGGCUAACUCCGUG
rnacentral:rRNA from 1 species